rnacentral:piRNA from 1 species
UCUCUCUCGAUGGUUGCCAGGAGCACU